AACGAGCGCUGGCGGCAGGCCUAACACAUGCAAGUCGAGCGCCCCGCAAGGGGAGCGGCGGACGGGUGAGUAACGCGUGGGAAUAUGCCCUUUGCUACGGAAUAGUCUCGGGAAACUGGGGGUAAUACCGUAUACGCCCUUUGGGGGAAAGAUUUAUCGGCGAAGGAUUAGCCCGCGUUGGAUUAGGUAGUUGGUGGGGUAAUGGCCUACCAAGCCGACGAUCCAUAGCUGGUUUGAGAGGAUGAUCAGCCACACUGGGACUGAGACACGGCCCAGACUCCUACGGGAGGCAGCAGUGGGGAAUCUUAGACAAUGGGGGCAACCCUGAUCUAGCCAUGCCGCGUGAGUGAUGAAGGCCUUAGGGUUGUAAAGCUCUUUCAGCUGGGAAGAUAAUGACGGUACCAGCAGAAGAAGCCCCGGCUAACUCCGUG
rnacentral:rRNA from 1 species